CAGCAGUCUUUCCCAAUUUCUCUGCAGUCUCGGUAAGAACAGAGUUUGCAAGGACAUUCCCUUUUACCCACUUUGACCCGGAAGAACCUAGCGGAGAAUAUCCUGAGAGGUGAACUCCCUUGGAUUGACAGAAGGACCGAAGCUUGGUCUGUUGCCAUACAGGAUGGCAUUCCACCUGGUUUACAGCAGGUGGAAUACGUGCAAUGCUCAGCAAAUCUUCCAACUUCUUGGUG